rnacentral:rRNA from 1 species
CUCAUAGCGUAUAUUUAAGUUGUUGCAGUUAAAAAGCUCGUAGUCGGAUUUUGGCUGAGAACGAACGGUCCGCCGUUAGGUGUGCACUGUUUGGUCUCAGCUUCCUGGUGAGGAGGUGUGCUUCACGGCCACUUAGUCACCGUGGUUACUUUGAAAAAAUUAGAGUGUUCAAAGCGGGCUUACGCUUGAAUAUAUUAGCAUGGAAUAACACCAUAGGACUCCUGUCCUAUUUCGUUGGUCUCGGGACGGGAGUAAUGAUUAAGAGGAACAGUUGGGGGCAUUCGUAUUUCAUUGUCAGAGGUGAAAUUCUUGGAUUUAUGAAAGACGAACUUCUGCGAAAGCAUUUGCCAAGGAUGUUUUCAUUGAUCAAGAACGAAAGUUGGGGGCUCGAAGAUGAUUAGAUACCAUCCUAGUCUCAACCAUAAACGAUGCCGACUAGGGAUUGGCGGAGGG